rnacentral:rRNA from 1 species
UCCCAGACUCCUACGGGAGGCAGCAGUGGGGAAUAUUGGGCAAUGGGCGCAAGCCUGACCCAGCAACGCCGCGUGAAGGAAGAAGGCUUUCGGGUUGUAAACUUCUUUUCUCAGGGACGAAUAGAUGACGGUACCUGAGGAAUAAGCCACGGCUAACUACGUGCCAGCAGCCGCGGUAAUACGUAGGUGGCAAGCGUUAUCCGGAUUUACUGGGUGUAAAGGGCGUGUAGGCGGGGACGCAAGUCAGAUGUGAAAACCACGGGCUCAACCUGUGGCCUGCAUUUGAAACUGUGUUUCUUGAGUACUGGAGAGGCAGACGGAAUUCCGUGUGUAGCGGUGAAAUGCGUAGAUAUACGGAGGAACACCAGUGGCGAAGGCGGAUUGCUGGACAGUAACUGACGCUGAGGCGCGAAAGCGUGGGGAGCAAACAGGAUUAGAUACCCGUGUAUC